rnacentral:misc_RNA from 1 species
UCCGGCUUGUCACCGGCAGUCUCAUUAGAGUGCCCAACUAAAUGAUGGCAACUAAUGACAAGGGUUGCGCUCGUUGCGGGACUUAACCCAACAUCUCACGACACGAGCUGACGACAGCCAUGCAGCACCUGUGUUACGGCUCCCGAAGGCACUCCUCCGUCUCUGGAGGAUUCCGUACAUGUCAAGACCAGGUAAGGUUCUUCGCGUUGCAUCGAAUUAAUCCACAUCAUCCACCGCUUGUGCGGGUCCCCGUCAAUUCCUUUGAGUUUUAAUCUUGCGACCGUACUCCCCAGGCGGUCAAUUUCACGCGUUAGCUACGCUACUAAGCAAUCAAGUUGCCCAACAGCUAAUUGACAUCGUUUAGGGCGUGGACUAC